rnacentral:snoRNA from 2 species
UUGCACUGUUCGUAACCUUUUGACAGCAUUUUUCUGCAAAUAGGUUCCAUUCCAGUGCUACAUUAAAUCCAGUAAUGGAAGGCUGACAAACUCCCAUGUCCCUUCUGUAUCUGGAGACAAAG